rnacentral:rRNA from 1 species
UACGUAGGUGGCGAGCGUUGUCCGGAUUUACUGGGCGUAAAGGGAGCGUAGGCGGACUUUUAAGUGAGAUGUGAAAUACUCGGGCUCAACUUGAGUGCUGCAUUUCAAACUGGAAGUCUAGAGUGCAGGAGAGGAGAAUGGAAUUCCUAGUGUAGUGGUGAAAUGCGUAGAGAUUAGGAAGAACACCAGUGGCGAAGGCGAUUCUCUGGACUGUAACUGACGCUGAGGCUCGAAAGCGUGGGGAGCAAACAGG